GUUCAACCAGAAGGGAACUUCUACUUUUACAUACAUUUGUUGAAAGUAUAACACACAACACCCUCCACAUUCUCCCACUUAUUACUGCAGUUCCAUUUGCUAUAAACCAUUUAGUGAGGAACUAGUGGAGAUGAAUGAAUGCAUAUCGGGUAAGGGCAUCUUGUUUAAGGAGGCCUACCUACAGAUGAUCCGAUGCAGUCCCAGAUUGUCUGUAGGAUCCACCCACACCAUUGCUGACUGGAAUACAACCACAACCAGUUGCAAGUCGCCUGUAUCGUUUCCCAAGAGGCUCAUGCAUGUCGAUGGAUUUUAAGAAGUAUUACACCAACGUCAUCAAAUACAACUAACAUCUUAGUUGUAUCGAACAUGUCGGGGGAGGAUACAGUCACGUGCUCCGGACGUUUCUCUAAUCUAUACACAUGUGGAGUGGACACCAAACAUGUGGGGGAGGUUGAAGGUCCGUCGCAGCAGCUGUCUGCGGAUGGUGCUAAUGAUGUUAAUAACGCUGAUCAAGUGGCGCCAAUCCUCAUUAAAAUCUGCGCCCUCGUUUACAGGCGUCUCGACGGGACGUCAGUCGUGAGUAUCGAUUCACCAGGAUAAGCGACCAUCAUCUUCCUCCCUCAGCCUCUUAUCUUCACGAAGCUCUGGUCGCUCAACAAAGCGAGGCAGAGGCAGACCACUGUUUCGGUCAUUCACGCAAGAACACUGUUGUAGAGUGGUAUGAGAAGUAGAAAACCCCAAUUUAUUUUGGGAAGUAAAGGAGAUUCCUACUCAUUCCUUCCUUCCCUAACCCUAAUCUCCUUAUAGAAGUCUACACUUGCUUUCAACAAAGACUUUGUUAUUGUGUUCUUAAACAGUUUGUGCAUGUUAUUGGGGGGAUGGGGAAGUCAUGACAAGUUUAAUCAUUUUUGGUUAUGCUUACUGUCAUUGAAAAGUUUUAUUUUUUCAUGGUACAAUGUUUCAUCUGGAGAUCUGGAAAUAUCUGUUUAAUUGAAUGGGUUCGUUCAAUUUAAAGGGGGAGGAAUGUUGUAGAGUGGUAUACUGACUUCUGACCACUAGAGGCAGUAGUGCUAUUGCUCUCUACAAGAAGCUACCGCUUAUUAUCCUGUGGCUGAGCACACCUGUUGAUGUAGGAUUGCUAUGCUGUGAGUGCUAGGUUCCGUGGGGGACAAUAAACAUGUGAAGAGUAACGUCUGUGUCUGGCUAGUUUAUCCCAUUAUACCCAAUAUACUACAAACAAUGAUUCCGUUGGUUUAUUAUUUUAUUGUCGGCCACCAUAAGGCAAGCAUUAUGCUAAAACAGUCAAGCACACCUUCAUCUUAAUCUUAAUCCACCCAUUCCUCCUU
ensembl:lncRNA